AGAGGAGCAGGAACUGGAACCCUGGCCGAGUCCGAAAAAAGCCAGAUCUGGAAGGUGGCUGCGGAACGGUUUUAAGUGGAAGAUGGAGGAGCCGGAGGAACCGGCGGACAGUGGGCAGUCGCUGGUCCCGGUUUAUAUCUAUAGUCCCGAGUAUGUCAGUAUGUGUGACUCUCUGGCCAAGAUCCCCAAACGGGCCAGUAUGGUACAUUCUUUGAUUGAAGCAUAUGCACUGCAUAAGCAAAUGAGGAUAGUUAAGCCUAAAGUGGCCUCCAUGGAGGAGAUGGCCACCUUCCACACUGAUGCUUAUCUGCAGCAUCUCCAGAAGGUCAGCCAAGAGGGCGAUGAUGAUCAUCCGGACUCCAUAGAAUAUGGGCUAGAGAUGAAGCAUCUGGUUUUUGUUAUCUCAAUGAUGCUGUCCUGGGAAUAUUACGAUUGCGACGGAAAUUUGAGCGUAUUCUCUACGUGGAUUUGGAUCUGCACCAUGGAGAUGGUGUAGAAGACGCCUUCAGUUUCACCUCCAAAGUCAUGACCGUGUCCCUGCACAAAUUCUCCCCAGGAUUUUU
rnacentral:sRNA from 1 species